rnacentral:rRNA from 1 species
CAGCCGCCACGGGAAUACAGAGGGUGCAAGCGUUAAUCGGAAUUACUGGGCGUAAAGCGCGCGUAGGUGGUUUGUUAAGUUGGAUGUGAAAUCCCCUGGCUCAACCUGGGAACUGCAUCCAAAACUGGCAAGCUAGAGUAUGGUAGAGGGUGGUGGAAUUUCCUGUGUAGCGGUGAAAUGCGUAGAUAUAGGAAGGAACACCAGUGGCGAAGGCGACCACCUGGACUGAUACUGACACUGAGGUGCGAAAGCGUGGGGAGCAAACAGGAUUAGAGACCCCUGUAGUCCCUGUCUCUUAUAC